GGGGUUGUGGCUCACUGGUAGAGCACUUGCCUUGCAUGCAUGGGGCAUUGGAUUUGAUACUCAGCACCA
rfam:Ictidomys tridecemlineatus contig102598, whole genome shotgun sequence.